AUUGAACGCUGGCGGCAGGCUUAACACAUGCAAGUCGAGCGGAGAUGAGGUGCUUGCACCUUAUCUUAGCGGCGGACGGGUGAGUAGUGCUUAGGAAUCUGCCUAUUAGUGGGGGACAACAUUCCGAAAGGAAUGCUAAUACCGCAUACGUCCUACGGGAGAAAGCAGGGAAUCUUCGGACCUUGCGCUAAUAGAUGAGCCUAAGUCGGAUUAGCUAGUUGGUGGGGUAAAGGCCGACCAAGGCGACGAUCUGUAGCGGGUCUGAGAGGAUGAUCCGCCACACUGGGACUGAGACACGGCCCAGACUCCUACGGGAGGCAGCAGUGGGGAAUAUUGGACAAUGGGGGGAACCCUGAUCCAGCCAUGCCGCGUGUGUGAAGAAGGCCUUAUGGUUGUAAAGUACUUUAAGCGAGGAGGAGGCUACUGAGACUAAUACUCUUGGAUAGUGGACGUUACUCGCAGAAUAAGCACCGGCUAACUCUGUGCCAGCCGCCGCCGUAAUAC
rnacentral:rRNA from 1 species